CUCUGUAGGAGCUGCCGCAGGCUGCGAUCUUUUGCUUUUGAUUUUAAGAAACAAGAUCAAAAGAUCGCAGCCUGCGGCAGCUCCUACACGG
rnacentral:antisense_RNA from 1 species